rnacentral:rRNA from 1 species
GGGGGAAUAUUGGACAAUGGGCGCAAGCCUGAUCCAGCCAUGCCGCGUGAGUGAUGAAGGCCCUAGGGUUGUAAAGCUCUUUCACCGGUGAAGAUAAUGACGGUAACCGGAGAAGAAGCCCCGGCUAACUUCGUGCCAGCAGCCGCGGUAAUACGAAGGGGGCUAGCGUUGUUCGGAUUUACUGGGCGUAAAGCGCACGUAGGCGGACUAUUAAGUCAGGGGUGAAAUCCCGGGGCUCAACCCCGGAACUGCCUUUGAUACUGGUAGUCUUGAGUUCGAGAGAGGUGAGUGGAAUUCCGAGUGUAGAGGUGAAAUUCGUAGAUAUUCGGAGGAACACCAGUGGCGAAGGCGGCUCACUGGCUCGAUACUGACGCUGAGGUGCGAAAGCGUGGGGAGCAAACAGG